rnacentral:miRNA from 1 species
AGGGUAAAAGAAGAACCCACCGACUGGCAAACGACAGCUAGCCACAUGGCUGUGUCUGUGAGACGGGGUUGUAUGCUGCUGUGAUUGUCCGCUCCGUGUACUAUCUCCUCAGCCGA